rnacentral:RNase_P_RNA from 1 species
CUGCCGCUGCCUCCGUCUGUUCGGAGGGGGAGGAAAGUCCGGGCAACACAGAGCACCGUCCUUCCUAACGGGAAGAUUUCCGUAAGGGAAUAGUAGUGUAACAGAAAAUAACCGCCGGAAUUGCUCGCAAUUUCGGUAAGGGUGAAAAGGCGGGGUAAGAGCCCACCGCGGGUGUGGCGACACACUUUGGCCGUACGCCUGACGGGUUGCAAGACCAUGUAUACCGACGCAGUAGGAUUGCUCGUCCGAUGUCGGGGGGUAGGUUGCUGAUGAGUCGUGCGGGUGACCGUCGGCCUAGAUAAAUGGCAGAGACCUUCUUACAGGUACAGAACCCGGCUUAUACAUCC